GAAGGGCGUGGGGAGGCUGCUGGGUAGCGUGGGGGCGUGUGGGGAGGGAGCGGUUCCGGGUAGCGGGGGAUGGGCACGUGCGUUCUGCUCGUGGGGGAGGAUGGAAAUCGGGAACAGGUGCUAUAAUCGUUAAAGGAAAAAAAAUCUUUGCUUAGGGAGCGAGCCCUCCCGCCAUCCCCAUCCUUACUGUAGAGCUCUUUGCAUCCGGUUAUGAGACGCGAAACUAGUUGGGGACAGUCACUGGAUUUAGAAGCAUUCCCUGAGUGGCAGUGUGGCUUAAUGGCACGGUGGCUCAUGCCAGGAAUCCCAGGACUUGGGGAAGCCAAGGCGGGCAGAUCACCUGAGGUCGCUCCAAAGAGAGCCUGAUGCAUGUCUCUGCCCAGCAGAACUCAAGUGCACCCCGAGAGGAACCACGGGCAGAAAGCAAAGGUAGGGCCAGCCUGCAAACUGCCUGGGCAGAGCCACUAACUCAGCGUUUGGACGAAAGUUCUGACCAAUCACCAACUGACGUCUCAGCUCAGCUGACCCAGGGGUGACUCCUUCAAAAGAAAAACAAGAGCCGCCGAGCACAGUGUAAUCGCAGCACUUGGGGAGGCUGAGGCAGAUGGAUCACGAGGUCAAGAGCUCAAGACCACCCUGGCCAACAUGUCAGACUUAAAGACUGCAAAGCCGCUAUUAAAAAUCGAUGCUGGGCUUGGUGGCACACUUCUGUGGACCCAGAUACUGUGGAGGCUGCAGGAGGAGGAUUAUCUGAGCUCUGAAUUGAGGCUGUAGUGAGCUGACUGCAUUGCUGCACUCCAGCCUGGGCAACAGAGCAAUACCCUGUCUUGAUUUAUAAAACAGGGUGAGGUAGGAGGAUUGCUUGAAUUCAGGAGUUCGAGACCAGCCUGGGUAACAUGCUGACACCCCGCCUCUAAGAAAAACACAAAAAUUAAUGGCCAGGCUAUUCUCUGCACUUUGGGAGGCCAAGGCGGGUGGAUCACCUGAGGUCGGAGUUUCAGAGCAGCCUGGCCAACAUGAUGAAAGCCAGUCUCUACUAAAAAUACAAAAAAUUAGCUGGGCAUGGUGGCCUUUAACACCAGCUCCUCAGGAGGCUGAGGCAGGAUAACGGCUUGAACUUGGGAGGCAGAGGUUGCAGUGAGCCGAGAUCACGCCUCUACAUUCUAGCCUGGGCGACACAGACUUCGUGUCAAAAAAGAAACAAAAAAGAAAACCUCAAAUUAUUUUCUGGAUUUAGAAGCCCUUCCUGACCACCGGGCUUCCUGCGCUUUAUGCCCUGAGCUUCCUGCAGAAUGGGCCUGACCGAGAGCUCUAUGUGACGUCUGCCCGUUUCUGUGAGGGUCUCCACAACCCAGCCCUGGCCACAGGCAGGGAAGGGACAGAGCCACCUGCUCCCCGCACCGUAGGACCCAGGUGAAUGCAUGCUGGAGAGCUGUGGCAGCAAAGGCCACCUGCAUAGCCAGGCAAGUCCUCUCUCCCUGCCACGUCUUCAGGAUCCUCCUCUGUGAAAUGGGCCCCAUGGGUUCUGGUGCUGGGAGGACGGGGACCUGGACAUGAGGUGGCCCCGCCACUACUGCUGGCAGAAACCCGGGGAGCCAGGCAUGAGUCCACCUGUAGGCUGUGCGUUUUGUUGUUGGUUUAAUUUAUUACUGAUUGACAUCCAGUGACACUGACAUACCCUCGCCGGGCCCCGGCGAGUCUGACCUGUCCAGUAAAAUACAGUACGAGGAGUGGACGGUGACGCACAUGCAUCCACGCUGAACUACAGUGACUCCAAACUGCCGGGAAAGGAAAAGAAAAACAGGUAUCGUGUGUUCCCCAAUUCCGAAUUCUCUCUCUCUCUCUGUUAGACAGUUAAUGCUGUUACAAACGCUACUGAUGCCAGGACAGGGCCAGUCACAAACAGUCCUACAGCUUCUCUGCCGUAUAAAUAUGGAAGAUUCUUUUGUUUAUACAGUUUUAUCCCAAGUCUGAAACUACGUCUGUUGCUACCCGUUACUGCUAAGGCCUAUGCCAUCUCGGCUCUGGAACGAGGGGCUCGGGGUCGAGACUGGAAUGUCGGGGUUCAGUCUUCCUCACUGCCACUUCCUGAGCGGUCCUGGAGAGGAGACAGGAGAGAGUGAGUGUUAGCUGCCCCUGCCAGAGGCCUGCCAAGCAUUAAAUAAACUUGCUCAAGAAAAAAAAAACUGACGCUGGCCACAGAAGCUGCCGCAACCACGGCCACACCCCAACUUCAUGUUUCUCUAGAGCAGCAGUCCCUGUGCCCACACUCACUCUCUUGGGACCCGUGAGGCUCCAUGUGCCUUCCCUGCUCUGUCCCAUGUCACUUGCCUGGCCUUGGGCCCCUGACCUACAGCUUCCAAAACAUUUUGGCUCUUCCUGACUGCGAAAGAUCUUUGCGCUUUCAUGUAAUUUUUUUUUUUUUUUUGAGACAGAGUGUAGUGGUGCGAUCUUGGCUCAUUACAACCUCCGCCUACUGGGUUCGAGCAAUUGUCCUGCCUCAGCCUCCUGAGUAGCUGGGAUUACAGGCGUGUGCCACCACACCUGGCUAAUUUUUAUAUUUUUAGUAGAGACAGGUUUCACGAUGUAGUUCAAGCUGGUUCUGAAUUCCUGACCUUGUGAUUCACCCGCCUUGGCCUCCCAAAGUGUUGGGAUUACAAGCACGAGCCACCGUGCCCAGUCCUUUUAUUUUUAUUAAAAAAAAAAAAAAAAAAAAUUUUUUUUAAGACAGGGUCUUGCUCUGUUGCCCAGGCUGAAGUGCAGUGGUGCGAUUAUGGCUCUCUACAGCCUCUACCUCCCAGGCUCAAGUAAUCCUCCUGCCUCAGCUUCCCAAAGUGCUGGGAUUAACAGGUGUGAGCCACCAGGCCUGGCCUCAUAAAGCCUUUUUUUUUUUUUGGAGACGGAGUUUUGCUGUUGUUACCUAGAAUGGAGUGCAAUGGCACAAUCUCGGCUUGCCGCAACCUCUGCCUCCUGGGUUCAAGCAAUUCUCCUGCCUCAGCCUCCCGAGUAGCUGGGACUACAGGUGUGCACCAUCAUGCUCAGCUAAUUUUUGUAUUUUUAGUAGAGACGGGGUUUCACCUUGUUGACCAGGAUGGUCUCGAUCUCUUGACCUCGUGAUCCACCCGCCUCAGCCUCCCAAAGUGCUGGGAUUAUAGGCGUGAGCCACCAUGCCCGGCCUCAUAAAGCCUUUUUAAGCCUGGCAUGGGCCAUAAAACACGCUGUUCUGGGUUGGGCAAGAGAGAUGCCACUACAGCCCAGACCCUCCUGUCUGACACACGGGCCUCCCUUCCCCAUGAGGACUUCAUGAAUGUCCUCAAAGGUCACGUGCCUGUUUUGUCAGACUAAUUCCCAGGCACAGACAUUUCCUACUUCUGUAAUGACCAAAUGGCAUUCAUCAGGCUUUGGUGGGAGCCAGGCCUCGAGCGGGGGCAGCCCCCAUAAUCCACGCAGCCUCCUUGUUUGCUAAGAGGAAGCUGAAGCUUUCAGAAGCAGAGUGGCCUGCCAGGUCCCAUAGCCAGGAAGGGCCAGAGACAAAGACGACGUAUCUUAUUUAUAGCUAGCAAGGGGGCUAAGCGCAGUGGCUCACACCUGUAAUCCCAGCACUUUAGGAGGCCGAGGCGGGUGGAUCACAAGGUCAGGAGAUCGAGACCAUCCUGGCCAAACGGUGAAACACCAUCUCUACUAAAAUACAAAAAAAUCAUGGGGCGUGGUGGUAUGUGCCUGUAGUCACAGCUACUUGGGGUGACAGCUGAGGCAGAAGAAUCGCUUGAAGCCAGGAGGUACAGGUUGCAGUGAGCUGAAAUGAUGCCACUGCAUACCAGCCUGGCAAUAGAGUGAGACUCUGUCUCAAAAAAAGCCAGUAAAUGUAUCUGUUCAGGCUCCCCCACUGCCCCCCCAGAAACUUUCCACUGUGUGCCACUAAGGAGAUGGGGCACUGCCUGGUGGGUCCUCAAUCCUGGCACCUCCCACCUGACCCCAAUCAACCCCUGGCCUGCCCAGCCUCACCCCAGACGCUGGUGCCCUAGGCCCACCUCCUGUCCAUCCUGAGACCUCAGGUCCCCCAGUCCCCAGACAUGCACAGGUAUUGAUAGCUGGUUUUAGGGUCACACAGGCCUGGGCUUAAGUGGCAGCUCUGCCACGUACUUGCUGUGUGACCACGGGCCAGCCAUGGAACGUGAAGCCUCAGUUUCCCCAUCUGCAGAGUGGGAGUAUUGCCCCGUAGGGCCAUCCCGUCAGGGCCCUGGGCUGCCUCCUGCUGCCCGCCAGCCCUGCCUGCCCCACCUGCCCCGCCUGCCCCGGGGCCCAGCCUCACCUCCUCUUGUUCCUCCUCACUGUCAUCGUCACUUACGACCGGCUUGGCUCGGGACCCUCGGCUCGGCCGCCGCCGGCUGCCCUUCAGCCGGUCCUGUGCCUUCUCCUUCCGGCCAAGCUUGAUCUUCACUUUGACAGAUCGAGCUGGAGGGGACCAGAAGGAAAAGGGAGCUGUGAGCUCUGGGAACACAGCACCUCUACAGCAAGGGGCAUCUGGGAGCUGGGAGGGCUGUGAACAGCUGGGGCCUUGGGGGCUCUCAGACCAGCGUGAACCCUGGCAUCCUGAACCCCCGAGGGACUCACACUCAGAUUCGGAGCCUUCCUCCUCGCCCUCUUCCUCCUCCUCACUCUCCUCGCCUUCACUGUCAUCCUCCUUCUCAAUCUUCUGCCUUACGCUGGUGAAGACUGACUGCAGGACGAUGGAGUCUUCAUAGAUCUGGGUGGAGACACCAGGGGCUUGAGUGGAUGGGCCCGAUGGGAGGGCUGCCUGCCUGGCCCCAGCACCAGCCCUGUUUUGCCCCUGGACAGCUCAUCAGUGGCCAGUACGAGUCUCAGUGGGCUGGGGCUUCAGCCCACCCAAGGUGGAGGGCCCUCUCUAUAAUCGUCCUGCACAGGUACCCCAAAGAGCAACAGGCUUCUUCAGUGCUCCAGGAUGAAUGCUCAGGCACACUGGUUUGGGACUGGCUGCAGGUGCCUUCCUCUUUCUGGAGAAGGUCUGCAAUAACAUUAGAAAUGCAUGCCCCUAGGGCUGGGCGAGGUGGCCCACGCCUGUAAUCCCAGCCCAGGCAGGAGGAUUAGGAGGUCAAGAGAUCAAGAGCCUCCUGGCCAAUGGUAAGCAUCCUUACCAUUUAGUAGAGAUGGUAAAACCCCAUCUCUACUAAAAAUGCAAAAAUAGCUGGGUGUGGUGGCAGGUGUCUAUAGUCCCAGCUACUCUGGAGGCUGAGGCAGGAGAAUCACUUGAACCCAGGAGGUUGAGGUUGCAGUGAGCUGAGAUCACUCCAGCAUGGGUGACAGAGUAAGACUCCGUGUAAAAAAAAAAAAAAAAAAUGCAAGCUCCGUGUGGAAGCCAGCAUCUUCCCCAAAUUCAUCAAAAUCAAAUCUGUUUUUCUGAGGGGUAUUGAUCCCAAACACACUAAGAGAACUUUGCCAAGCUGAGGCUGUGUAUGUGUGUCAAUUCCAUCACGGGCAAGAACACAUCCAUAGCGUUCCUUUGAAGACAGUGUGCCCCAAGGAAUUUAAAUAAAAUUCCAACAGACAGA